GCUUGUUACAUCACAGACUGCUCCCUCACUUACCCCGCAACCACACAUAGUUUCUAGAUCACUGGCUCUGGGCUGAAGCAGAAGAAUUUGCAUUUCUAAUAGGUUCCCAGGUGAUGCUGCUGCGGCUAGCCUGGAGAUCAUACCCAUCUGUACUAAGAGAAUAGACUCCAAUGGGAAUGUCUGCUCACUGUUUUCUUCUAAGACCUGUGGCGUCCUCUUCUUAAACUCCGCCAGAGAAUCUGGACUGGGGACCAAGCAAAGCAGGCUUUCUACACGUGGAAAAAAAUCCUCACGUGUGGAAGAUAAUAAGAAUGGUUUCCUCCUCUGGUGUGGCCAGUUUUUACUUGUAACCCUAUGCUGUGCUCCAGAGACAUGAAGCAAAUUCACAACCUUGAUCAUUUAUUUUAAAAUGUGCAGGAAAACUGUAGUAUACUUGAUGUGGGGUAUGUUUUAUAAAUGCAGAGGAGAAACUUUU
rnacentral:lncRNA from 1 species